ensembl:lncRNA
GUCACGAUGACGCGGGCGUGAUGUGGCUGAUUCAGACGUUUAGCAUCGCGGUUGAGUUCUCGUUGGAGAAUUUGCCUUCGGGUUAUUGUAAUUCUCUGGGGGACAAUCGAGCAGGUAUGGAUGGAUGAUUGCCUCUUCUGUAUCUGGCUUUCAAAGCCCUCUCGCUGGACCAAGGAGGAGGGCAGCUUGACCUGAGGAGUUCACAUAAGGUCUUCUACUUCAGAAGAAAAAAACAGAACAUUAGAGGGAAUGAGCCCAUGCAUGUAAACAGCACCUAACAGGACACCCUGACCGUAGCACUGUGAACCAAUGUUAUUACUAAAUACUACUUGAAUGAAUGGACAAUAUUGAGCGACAAUACAAAAGAGCUUUAAAAGAUUGUUGCAUGCACGGUAAUGUGGAAACAUUUAGUAUGCCUGAGACCGAUUGUGUAUUAAGAUGAAGAAUCAAAUUGAAUCAGCCACAUUCGACUCAUAUGAGCAUCAUGAUAAUCAUUCAAUAGGUCCGGAAAGUAACUUCCCCAGUUGUAAAAUCGAAUUGGGCGUUAAUUUGGGAGUUUUUCUGUUUAUAAAUUAGCUUUAUCUAAUCAAUUGUUCCUUUAUAAUUUGAUAUAUCCCAACAGACAACAAUUAUGUUUCAGACGUCAGAGCACAAUUCUGAUAAUAACUGUGAAUUCCUUUUUUAUUUAUUUGUUGGGGUUAUAACAAGUCAAAGUUGAAUAUAAUUGUGUUUAUUCUCAAGUAAACCUGCCAUGUGUAAUUCAUGUUUUUUUUUUUAACUGGACAGGACAGGAUACAGAACAUAACCAUAUUUUGUUUCUGACUAAUUUUCUAAAACAUAUGUUGAUGAGGUUUUUGUGUUCAUUUUAUAGAAGUUGCUAAGAGAAGGUGUUUCAAUGCUUCUUUUGUAUCACCAAGACUGACAUCUGGAGGAUAAAACAAAGAGCUGCAAGUGUUUCAGACUUCUUUUCUUUUUGGAAUUCUGAGGAAUUAGUUUUUUGGAAACACUAAUGAACCCCUUGCGUGUCCUUUGCGUGCCCUUUUCACACCAAAACCCAUUCAUUCUCUAUGGUUGUGCUAAACCACUGCGGGUGUAAUAUAUCUUUGGCCACCGGUGGCGCUGUUGUGCGGACCGAGCGUUUGCCCGGAUGUAAAGCGUUUCUCCGGUCAUUCUCCGUCAGUCUACCCGGGAUAGAGCACCGAAGCGACGGUGCACCUUCGUCGGACCUCGCGCUAUGAGGAAGUCACUAAACAGGAUUGCUGUGUUGCACUUAAGGUGGCAGAGUCGUCUGCAGGAGAACAUCUGAAAUGGGAUUCUUGGAGAACAAGAGAUUGCCAAUGUCACGUCUGGCAACCAUCACAUUUUAAUGCAAACAUUAAUAUCAAGCUGGACUUGUUUCACUGCAUGAGGCGGUUCCUCCGUGAGUGUGUGUCGGUGGCAUCCCGCCCUGUACAGUUCCUUUGCUCAGUUCCUUUGCUCAGUUCCUCUGGACUGGGACAAGCACAACAGCAAGACAGAUCACACCCAGGCCCCGAAUCCACCUCCUCAAAGUGAUCCACUCGCUACACAGUCGGAGGUUCAAGGGUGUUCCAGUUUUCUCCAUACAUUUGUGUCACUUAUCCAUUUUUUUACAAGAUGUGAAAAUAUAUUUAGGGUGUUAUUAAAUAAACAUUCACAUACAAAUACCAGUCUUUCAUGAGCUUUUAAUGAAAGUUUAUAUUUAUUAGACAAGUAUUUGAUUCUCUAGGUCAGAAUGACUUAUAAUACUCUGUCUUUUGUUCCUGUAGAAACUCUACACAGCAAAAAUUGGAGUGUUGAAAUUUCAGGGUUAAAAAUUUCCGAGUUGAUUUUCACUCCCAGAGUGUAAUUUCAACACAUUCUGAUUUAAAUGGUGUUCAGUGUUGGAGUUAUUUGGCAGAGUUGAUCAUGUCAGUGUUAACCCAACUCCGCAGAGACGUAAUUAAGCUCCGCCCACGCCUUUCACCUCUUCGGUUAGAGACAGAGAAGACAAGUCUGCGCCAUUUUCUACCUCUCAUGCAGCACUACACGGUAAGUGCAAUUAAGUUAAACUUACUGAAACAAUUAAAAAUUGAUGCUGAGAAUUUCAGUAUGAACAAUUAAAUAUCCACAGAGAAUAUAUGCCUUACACAGCCGUGUUUGUUGCCAGGACUGAACAGUAAAUUUGUCCUCGUGGUUAGCUAGCUAGUUAGCAGUGUACGGUAAGCUAGCUAACAGUUUGUUACUAAAACUCUCCAACUUUAUCAAUAAUGAUUUAACAAUUCACAGGCAUGCUCAAAGCUAGGAAAUACAAAGCAUUAUGAUUUUUAACUGCAUAAAAUCUUGUUUGAGGCUGGAGCUGACGUUUUUUUUUUCACUUUGAAGAUCAAAGGGACCGCAAAAAACGUGUCCCAACAUGCAGACGGGUGUUUCACGUGUCUAGUUCACGUGUCUUGACAAUCAUGGGUAUGUUUGUUUCACAUUGUUUUUAUUUGUGCAUGACCAUUGCAUGAAUGUACUAAUUUAAUAUCUCCUCUCAGGCACUGCCCCACUAAAACAAUCAGAAGUUUAUGCACGUGGGAUAGUGACGCUGUUCCCUUCCCUUAAGGAUCCAUACUCCAAGAAGGGCUAUGUAAUAGGCAUUAUUAUUGUUUAAACUUCCAUGUCUUGUUGUGACCCAAAACUGUGUGGAUGACAUUGAUAUUUGAAUUCCGUGAGAUUUCUCAUGAGCCUGGUAUUACAACACAUUUCUUUUUUUCAUUUCAGGAACACUUCUAUGAUGCUGCAAGCAGCACAGGGUACAUUUCUUGGCGUCUGAAAACAGUCCAGAGGAAGAUUCUGCACAGCCACCAAAUAGCCCAAUUGACUUUUCUCCAGGAGGCCCAAAUUGGCAAAGGACUGUUAAUGUUGAAGGGCAGCUUGAUGGUGAUGCUUGCCAAGAGGCCAUGUCUUUGCUUAACCAUACAGCAGACAAUUCCCUGAUUUUCCAGAAGAUGAGAGAAACCUUUCAGCAUCGUCAGAAGUUUGUUUGACUAAUAGAUGGAUGACUGUUUAAAACUUUGUCAUAAUGCCUCCCUGUUCUCAUUCAAACUUAACGUGUUACAUUUGAAAAGUUUUUAGUUAACUCUUGUGACUGUUUGUCCUCAGCCUACGACCAAGAAAUGGCCUCCCUGUUGUUGCUGUUACAUCUCCUUCCACCACCUCCAGGGGGACUGAAGUCUCCAAAAAAUAGUGCAUGUGAUGCAGUUGAAAGACUUGUUGUAUUUCAUAAGUCAUGCUGCAGUUUGGAGGAGCAUCUCCGCAACCAGCAGGGUCGGCAGCCGUACCUCCUCGCUGUUGGGCGUCAGAAGAGCAAGAUUGACAGCUUCUACAUCACCAUGGAUAAGCGUCUCAUCCCAUGCAAGGCAAACCGCUCCCUCGGGGCAUGUGAUGAACUUUUCAAAGCACAUUUUGUGUUUAAUUUGUCUUACGAUGUGGCACUUGUGAAUUUUUAUACAUUCCUGCAGACAACAGUGUAUAACAUUGAUGUGGGGAAAAUGAAGGAGUCACCCAGAGUUAAAGACUUGAGAGCAAGACUGCUUAACCAGCCAGUAGCAUUCUCACCCUGUGAGUAAGAAGCUAUAACAAUGCUGACCUGUUUCAUGUGUUGACAAACAAGCUAUUUACAGAGAAUUUUCAUGACCAUCAUCAUGCAUUCAGAGUAUUACGAAGUGCGGAAAGAUGUUUACUAAAAAUGUCUGCGCUUAAAUUUCAUAAACCGUUUCAUAUUCAAAGCUCAUAUAAUGUUUUGGAUGAAAGUUUGUACAUUAUACCUUCAUUCACAAUGUUUUAAUUCAACUGACUGCAAGGGAGAAAAGGAAUAAAUGUUUUUGAAAAUGUUUUUUAUUGUGAUGAAUUCUUAUUAAUAUAAGUAUAUAUUUAAUUAAUACAUUUAAAAUGAAUUAACAUUUUUUCAGUGUAGAUAAUUGACACAUUAGGGAGUGUAAUUAACACUACCAAAAUAGUUAAAAAAAUUAACUCGGAGCAGUGUUAGUUGUCUAAUCCC